rnacentral:piRNA from 1 species
UUGAUUUUAAGUGUACAGUGUAGAGAA